rnacentral:sRNA from 1 species
UUCACAGCACUAGAAAAUGAAGUGUUCUGUUUAUUCACAGAAAAGGUACAGCAUGGGCCACAGCAGACAGUUUCCCCAUAAUACCUUCCCUCUCCAGGACAGAAGGGGGCAGAAGGUAGUUUACUUUCCAUGCCCUUUCCCCCCUCCUUUGCA